AGGAGGAACGACCGCAGUGGCGGCGGCCAGCUCUGGAGCCCUGGAGUCAGCUCCCGCAGUAGCUACAGAGCUCCCGGUCUGCAGGGCCUGGAGGCUCCGGGGCGGG
rfam:Canis lupus familiaris chromosome 2, whole genome shotgun sequence.